rnacentral:miRNA from 1 species
CACUUGCCUGACUGAGUCUAAAUC